AUAAAUACAAAGUUGAAGAGCAUUGAGGACCUAAAAUUCCAAAAAGUUGUGCCAAAUACGGCUAAGGUAAUCUACUCCUGGGGUAAGAAAAUCCUUAGUUUUUCGAAAAAUUCAAUGUUUUUUAAACAGAAAAUUUAUAAAAAUGACCAUAUAAUUGAUAUUCAUGUCAACACCGAAGUGCUGACUACUGGGCUGGUGAUACCCUCGGGGACGAAACGUCCACCAGCAGUGGCAUCGACCCAGUGGUGUAAAUAGUUAUCAAAAGUACCAGGAUUAUAAUUUUAUACGCCAGACGCGCGUUUCGUCUACAUAAGACUCAUCAGUGACGCUCAUAUCAAAAUAGUUAAAAAAGCCAAAUAAAUACAAAG
rnacentral:lncRNA from 1 species